CUUUGUAUUUCUCUCGAAGUGGUUUAAUUCUUAGUGGAUGAACUAUCAGUGUAUAAUUGGGAGUAGGUGCCAGAGUGUUUCUAUCUAAAGAAGCCCAAACUGUUGUGAGAUCUUCAGUUUCCAGGGUUAGAUCAAUGCAGCUUGACUCAGCUCAGUGGAGCCUAGCACAAUUUAGCACAAUUAAAUUCAGCUCGGUGGACCUCAGCUCAUGUUACCUUAGCUGGCCAGGCUCAGCUCAACUCAGCUCAGAGCUCACAUCAGCUCAGCUUAGCCCAACAUGCUGUCUUUAACACCGCCCAGUUUGGCUCAAUUCAACACCGCCCAACGGUACUCACCUUACUCAGUUCAACCCUACUCAACCUAAUGGAGCUCAGUUGGCCACAGCUUUGUUCAGUCAAUCACAGAGGCAUUUAUUGAGCACCAAAGCUGGACACUCUGAAGGCUGUUUCAUCCAGGAACUCAUAAUUUAGUCACUGAAACAGUUUGCAUAUAAGGAAGAAUGUUUAUAGUAAUCCAUAAGCGAAGACUAUGAAAGCUGGAUGGAAGAGACAUCUACUCAUCACUGAAGAUGUUGAGAAAGCUUCUUGAAAGUCACGUUAUUUCAGGUAAAAUUUAAUUUUGACUAAUGAUGAAGAGCUGGGGCAAGAAGGCAGUGCAGAAAGAGGAAAUAUCCUGGUAUUAGGUUGGAGCAAAAGUAAUUGCGGUGGUUUUUGCCAUCACUUUCAAUGGCAAAAACUGCCGCAAUUACUUUUACAUCAAUCCAGUUAAUGCCUGGAAGUGGUGGAGUAAAUGGAAUGACUGGGGAGUGGGUGUAGAGUGAGUGUCACAGGAGAAAACACUCAAAGGCGGGAAGGGGUGAGAUUCAAGGCAGCUCUGAGUGGCAUGCUCAGGAGUUUGGACUUUUUCUGUCAGAAUAGUAAUCUACUAGGCAAUUUCAUUUUAUUCUUACAAAAAUCCUGGGAACCAUUUAGGUUAGGGAUGCUAAUUCCCAUUUUACAGAUGAAGAAAUGGAGGCUUAGAGAAGAAGUUAAUGCCUGUCCAGGUAGAGGAUAGUCGAGUUGGAAAUUAAACCACUUGGAGAGAGCAGUAUCCUUUUUAUUUUUAUAUCCUUGGGCCUACAGCUGGUAUUCAAGAGCUGGAGUAGGGUGUGAUUCAAGCUAUAUUUUCAUACCGUAGAUUUCCAGAGAGCAGAGGAGGGAUAGGAAGUGGUUGACACAGGAAUAUAGUUAGAAGAGAAUGAGAAGAGAAUGAGUAUCUGGCAAAAGGUAGGUGCCUCAGGGAUUACGGAGGGUAAGUGUUUGCUAAACACAUGUCUUCAAGUUCUCACAAAGUGUCUUGCAGUAUCUAGACCUCAUUUAAUUGAGUUCUAAGAUCAUGGUCUCAGUUUUCCAAGCCUCUUAACCCUUCUAGAACCUC
rnacentral:lncRNA from 1 species